AGAGUUUGAUCCUGGCUCAGAACGAACGCUGGCGGCAUGCCUAACACAUGCAAGUCGAACGGGAUCCAGGCUUCGGCCUGGUGAGAGUGGCGGACGGGUGAGUAACACGUGGGAACCUGCCUUUUGGUUCGGGAUAACCGCGGGAAACUGCGGCUAAUACCGGAUGCUCCCGAGAGGGGAAAGAUUUAUCGCCAGAAGAGGGGCCCGCGUCCGAUUAGGUAGUUGGUGAGGUAAUGGCUCACCAAGCCGACGAUCGGUAGCUGGUCUGAGAGGAUGAUCAGCCACACUGGGACUGAGAUACGGCCCAGACUCCUACGGGAGGCAGCAGUGGGGAAUAUUGGACAAUGGGGGCAACCCUGAUCCAGCAAUGCCGCGUGAGUGAUGAAGGCCUUAGGGUUGUAAAGCUCUUUUGCCAGGGAAGAUGAUGACUGUACCUGGAGAAUAAGCCCCGGCUAACUUCGUG
rnacentral:rRNA from 1 species